ACGGAAGGCAGCAGUGGGGAAUAUUGCGCAAUGGGCGGAAGCCUGACGCAGCGACGCCGCGUGGGGGAUGACGGCCUUCGGGUUGUAAACCUCUUUCGGCCCCGACGAAGCGUGAGUGACGGUAGGGGUAGAAGAAGCACCGGCCAACUACGUGCCAGCAGCCGCGGUAACACGUAGGGUGCGAGCGUUGUCCGGAAUUAUUGGGCGUAAAGAGCUCGUAGGCGGUGUGUCGCGUCGGCCGUGAAAACCUGUGGCUUAACUGUGGGCUUGCGGUCGAUACGGGCAUCACUGGAGUUCGGCAGGGGAGACUGGAAUUCCUGGUGUAGCGGUGAAAUGCGCAGAUAUCAGGAGGAACACCGGUGGCGAAGGCGGGUCUCUGGGCCGAUACUGACGCUGAGGAGCGAAAGCGUGGGGAGCGAACAGGAUUAGAUACCCUGGUA
rnacentral:rRNA from 1 species